GCCCCAAUAGCUCAGCCGGUAGAGCAACUGUUUCGUAAAUAGUAGGUCGGCGGUUCGAGUCCGUCUUGGGGCACCA
rnacentral:tRNA from 1 species